rnacentral:rRNA from 1 species
GUGGGGAAUCUUAGACAAUGGGCGCAAGCCUGAUCUAGCCAUGCCGCGUGAGUGAUGAAGGCCCUAGGGUUGUAAAGCUCUUUCAGCUGGGAAGAUAAUGACGGUACCAGCAGAAGAAGCCCCGGCUAACUCCGUGCCAGCAGCCGCGGUAAUACGGAGGGGGCUAGCGUUGUUCGGAAUUACUGGGCGUAAAGCGCGCGUAGGCGGACUGAAAAGUUGGGGGUGAAAUCCCGGGGCUCAACCUCGGAACUGCCUUCAAAACUAUCAGUCUGGAGUUCGAGAGAGGUGAGUGGAAGUCCGAGUGUAGAGGUGAAAUUCGUAGAUAUUCGGAGGAACACCAGUGGCGAAGGCGGCUCACUGGCUCGAUACUGACGCUGAGGUGCGAAAGCGUGGGGAGCAAACAGGAUUAGAAACCCCGGUAGUCC